CAAGAGUCAUUCCAGACAGAAGCAUUAAAAGCUAGUGUGCAUAGUUUGCCACAUUCUCUUGCGACUGCUAUGAUGAUUGUGAAAAAUUGUGUUGUGAUACAUGCCUCAGUUAGCUUGGCCUUUGAGUGACUCAGAGGAGGAAAAUUCUGCUGCCAGCUUAUGAUGGACAUGCAAUCAGAGUAAGAAAUAAACUUGUGGGAAUCUAUUUGCCAUGUUGUGUGGAAAUCCAGCCUGUCUUGCCAAAGACACAAGGAGUGUGAGAGGAAGUUCCACAUGAAGGGACCAUGUAGAGGACAACCAAAGCAUCAUGGCCAAAUCCAGCCCUAAGGCUCCAGACACGUAAGGCAGCCCUCUUGGGCCACCCAGCCUAGCCUGUCUGCUACCUGAAUGCAGACAAUAUGAAUAUCUCCAUCAACACCACGUGGAGUAGAACAGCCCAGUCAACCUAUGGAGUCAUCAGAAGUUAGUAGAAGUCUGUAUGUUGUGGUGGAAAACAACUUCAGCCCUAUAGUCCAACACUGGCCUAUCAAAACUUGACCUAUGUUUUACAGAACUAGAACCUCACUGGAGGAAAAACCAUUUUCGUUUAAGAAAGUCCUUGGUGAAGUAGUAAAAAAUAUUAAUUUUAUUAAAUCUCAACCUUGAGUACAAGUCUUAAACAUUCUGAGUGAUGAAAGAGAAGAAUAUUUGAAGUGCUUCUGCUGCAUACCAAAGUAUGACAAUUGUCUCAAAAAAAAGCACUUGUGUGACUGUUUGAGAUGCCAGCUGCACUAGUCCCUUUUGUUUGAGAGCCACCAUUUUUACCUGAAAGAAUGUACAGACAAACUAUGGGCAUUCAAAGUUGAAUAUUUUGCAGACAUUUUCUUGCAAAUAAAUAAAGACGGCCUGUGGCUUCAGGAAAAACAACUGACAGUAUUUUCAGCCGAUUAUAAAAUUAAAUCUUUCAAGAGACCGUGCCUUGACAGCUCCCCAAUACUUCCAAGAGAUGGAAGGUAGCAUUAGUAAAUACAUUUUUUAAUGUUAUAUAACAGAAUGUUUUAAAGAUUAUAAUAUCUAUAUAACCAUGAAGAAGAGUAUUUUUCAAAUGACCAACACAUGGUGUUACAUAAUCAUGAGUGGGUAAAAAUGCAAGAUAGAAGAAUGGAUUUUAAUGCAACAGAGUAGAAAACAUUCACUUCCCAUUUCAUACUGCAACUAACCUUUAAGAAACUACAACUUGUUGAGUUUUGAGUUUUAUCAAAGAAUGUCUACAAUUUACAUGAAGAGUCUAUUAAAAUACUUCUCUAUUUUUCAACUCCAUGUCUGUAUGAGUCAAGACUUUCUUCAUGUAUGUCAACCAAAAGCACAUUGAAUUAUAGAAGUAGAUAUGAGAAUCCAGUUGUCUUCUGUUUAGCCAGAUAUGAAGGAGAUUUGUAAAAUGAAAAACAAAGCUACUCCUUUCAG